AUCAAAAAUCUAUUAUUGAACCGAGGUAGGCUCUUUUGAAUUGUGUAUCAUGUGGUGUGAGAGUUGCAUCUUUUGUGAGUGAGUUGAAACAGCAAUUACAGAAAUUUUGUCACGUCAAGAAGUCAUUCCUGACCAAUUAUUCCUAAUUAAGGAUUGACAAUUAAUAUCUGGAUCUUAACUUUAACACGCCCAAUAUUGACAAAGAUAUUAUUAAAAGAAAAAAACAAAAACAACCAAGGAUUGUCGGAAGCCAAGACACAUUUGAGUGUCGAUAAAUCUCGUAUAGAGAGCGUUCAUUAAUUACAUAAUACAGUGUUCAUUAAAUCUAAAGGUAGGGAGAUUCAGUACCAGCGUUAAGUGACACUCUCUAUCGGUAAGAACACACGCAAAAUCCAAAAUGUAUCUUCCCCAUUUCUUUGACGAUAUAUGUAACUAUAUCGUUAAAAUACUACAAAUUGUAUCCAGCCAUUUAUUCAAACUGUGCCAAAGUACCGUUUUUAAAGCGGCAAGCUCAAAAAGAAUGCAAAUUCCUAAUGCAGAUUGUUAAAAUAGGAAUGCAUCUCAGACUUUGCUGAUUUUUGAAACAUCUUCUACUGGGGAAACAACCCUUAUUUUUGCUCUAGCAAAAGAUUGCAACGAGCCUAUUAUUCCAGGUAUUGAACAAAUUGAAGAAAUGUCCAGUUGUUUUAAAAUAAAUCCUAUUUGACCAACAGAAUAAUUUGUUGGAAACAUUCAAUUGAACUUCCAGUCAUUUCAAGAAAAAAAAUAUUUCAAAUAUAAAUCGAAUUUGCAUCAUACCUAUAGGGAGGAGUGAGGCAUUUCUUUUGUGAUCAGUUCAUUUGACUCCAGCAAGCAUAGGGAAAACAUAGGUGAAGAGAACUUUGUCGCGACAUGAUUAUCAUUGCGUGCUGGCCUUAUAUUUGAUAGACAUUUAUACGUUUCAGGAUAUGGCUCUUACUACUCGCGAGUUAUUCUUUGGAUUGGGUGACAGUUUCCUUAACAUUCAGUUUUACUCUUUAAUUGGAUCUCUUCAUCCUACGGAUAGUGCAUCUGGAUUCAGUAUCUUCAAAAUCGUGAGGACUGCUUUCACAGCCGCUAGCUUCUACUAUGGCCGCUACCUACCUUUGCCAACUCUGCUGCUCGUUUUAGCGAUUUUCGGUGCUCUUGGAAUGAUAGCUUUUAACGUACUAAGCGUCACCCAUGAACGGAAAAAAACCCGCAGACAAACAUUAAAGGCUUCGAUUGAAUGUUAUUCAUUUAGAGUCGCGUAUUUUCAGAAACUUAAAAAUUUAAAUUCAAUCUGAAUUCAUCUAAAUGAACAAGAAGCAGUCUCCUACAAGUUCCUAAAUUGAUAUUUUCAUACUGUGCUCUGCGUAUUGAUCUGAUAAAACUGAAUCAAAUUAUUAAAUUAGCAAGACAUUAGGACAAAUAUAUGUCAUCAGCAGAUACUCAAAGAAUGUGCAAAUCGCGGGGAUUUUUUUUUUGUCAUUUGUCUGGCAUCCAGCAGUUGGUUGAGCUAAAUUGGAGACAAAAAACCUCACGUAUACAUUUGUACAUUUUCUACAGCACAAUUAUAAGUUCUCUCUCCUCCUCGAAAUUCCUUCCGUCUAAAUCUUGGCACAAUGAUUUCUCUAGAAAUGCUCAAGAAUUAUCGCCAUGGUCACUCCCGUCAAAGCUUUUUUCCAACACAUCUGCUGUGCUAAGGAAAAAUGCCUUAUGAACAUUCGACAGUUGCCAAAUUUCAUUCGAUAAAAUGUUCAAUGCUGAAGAAAGUUAUGAAUAUUUUUCAUCGAAAUUUCAGUAACCUCAGAUCAAAGUACGAACGUAAUUUUCUGAAAAAUUGGGAGAAAAAUGUUCUUAAAUUUUCCUGGAAAAUCAAGAUUUUGCCGGAGGGAAUUUGGCGACGCCAGAAGGUUCGUAGUGCGUUCUUCUUUAGCACGACAGGCACGCUGUCAAAACUGCCUAUUAUGUAAGUUGUGGUUUUUGCUUGUAUUCAAAAAGAAGGCGCACUUUUCGGGACUGCACAUAAAUCAAUUCUAGGAUUAAAAUGGAGAUUCGGCCACGCUUACUUUAAGGGGCUAAGCCUCUGCAUGGAGUCAAGGAUUCGACCUCCUCCGAAAUCUGCAUGGGCCAAAUACUGCCCUAAGGAGAGAGAAAAGUAGCUCGAGCAUUGUAUUCUGAUACUUGAUUUCAAAAUUUCCAUUCUGAAAUGAUACUGGAUCGAUCCAAAGACCUGAUAGAGCUGAGUGCUUCUCAAAUGUACCCUCGAAUUUUCAUGCACUACCGCUCCCUUCUUUUCCCCUCAAAAUAAUCGGGCAUUUUAACGUGAUUUAGCAGAGGAUUACCUAUCCAAUUUAAAGGUGAUAUAUCACGCACUUAAGAAUCGAAUGAAAUUGACAUUAAGCAAAGUUUGCAGUUUAUAUUUUCAUCACUAUACUAAUUCCCUGAUAAAUCUAUCAGUUUAAACUGAGCUCAUGCGAACAUAUUACACUUCAUGUGUUUCUCUUUCGAGUGAUCAUAAAAGAGGCAGAGAGAAUGAUGCAAAAAAUUAAGUGUCUUGGAAAAUUCUGCUACCUUCCUCUAAAUUUUCAUCGAACUGUUAGUUUGAAGCGUUAAACUUUACUUUUGAUUCAAUACAAGCUAUUUCGUCAUGAUAAGUCAAACAGUCAAUAUAUGUGCUAUCGGAAUCUGUGCGUUCACUCUCAACUCUGGUUACUUUGCUCUGACAGAUAUUCAGGUUCUGUAUCUACAUUUAUACCUGUAAAAAUACACAUGCAUAUCUAUGUUUGAUUUUUUCCCUGAAAUUAUUCUUGUCAUCUCAAAUGGAAUUCUGAAUUUUAAGUAAACUUAAAGUAACAUUACAUCACCGCAUGUGUUUAAUUUUCCGUUCUACCUGUUUUAUCCUUUUCUCGAAUGUUUCAUUCUUGUUACUGUUGAAUAUGAGACUCCUGAAUAUAUGUGGAAUUUGUAUUACUCUGUUCAAAUCAGUUUUCAUAUCGUGAUCAAAUGUUAGUCAUUCUGCACAUACAUUCGUGCAUUUCAAUAUACAGGGUGUUAGAAAAGUCCCCUCCCCCCCCCAUCUAACUUUUUACCUAAUUGAGAUAGAGAUUUGAAACUUGGAGGAUGUUCCUAGGUCAAAAGGACAUUUUGGACCUUACCCGACCGCCAUUUUGAAAAAUUAGGGUUUUUUUUUAAAAAUAUAACAUCAAAUUCGUUUUUUCUCGUGCGAAAAUACCUCCAGAACCCGAGUUUAAAACAAAUCCAUGUGCAAAUAGCCGAGAUGCCAAUUUUCGGCCAUUUGAACUUUAACCGGUCGCCAUUUUGAAACGGCUUAAGAUAAUGACUUCGGGUUUGCGCGGAAAAAUUUAUUUUUUUAUGCUCUUUCGAAAGAGGUAUCACAAAGGGGGUCUUCACAUUUGAAAAAAAAGUUGGGGUCCGUUACCCCCUCAAGGAGGACCUCCAGAAAAUUUUAAGGGGACCAAAAAGUAGCUCCUUUUGACCUAGGAACAUCCUCCAAGUUUCAAAUCUCUAUCUCAAUUAGGUAAAAAGUUAGAUGCGGGGGGGGGGGACUUUUCUAACACCCUGUAUGGAUAACGAUCGCAGCUUCAGGUGCAAAACCACCCAUUCUUUACCAAAUUUGAAUACCUUUGAGUACACAUCCCAGUGGGUAUAUUUUAUUGAUUCCAGAGUUCAAUUUAACGUACCUGAUGAACGGAACAAUAGACGAGUGACAAAGAUGGGGUGUGCUCUAAAAAGCUGCAUAUCAAAAAAUUUAAUAAUGGCACGAUUUCAUUGGGGAAAUGGAAAAGCGGAGUUUUUCGAUCAAACGGAACUAGGCACCAACUGCAUGCGACAGUCAUGAGCCGUGGGCAUGUGACAAGAGCGUUCUGGACAGGGCUCAUUUGUUAAAUUUACCACGGGCGGCGACGGCCGCUGACGUCACUGGCGCCUUAUAAUUCCCAUCCGUUCUUACAGCCGCCGACAAACGAGCACACCACCUUUCUUUCCCAAAUGUCUGUUUGUUCCGUAGUGCGUGGUGUGUUUUGCGAUAUAUCGAUUGAUCUGUCAUUUAAUCCCAUGGAAAAGUACCGAUAAACAGGGUGUUCGCAACGAACGCCUUGUUAAUCGAUUAUUUACCAUAGCUUCGAAUGGGGAAGUAUCGACUUAUCCCAAAGCACGCCACGCCACUACUGCUAAUAACUUGCGGUGCGCUGAUAAUCCGCGCUGAUUUGGAUAAGAACCAGAUGGAAAUCCAACGGGGGGGGGGGGGGGGGGGUCUGAAAUUUUCACCGUUGAGUUCUCAUUGAUUUUUGGUCGGAUCCUCAAAUAACUGUUGAAUGAACCAAAUGGCAUGGCUCUCAUAGAACACCAUACUUACGGUUCAUCUGAUAAUUUUUCCUCUCUUAAAAUAUGUACCUUUAUUCUCCGUAAUAUGCGGUCAAUCAUAGACGCAUCCUUAAACUCCCUUUUUAUAGAAUCAAUGCCGAAUUUGAAACAAUCUUUUACGCUGAAUUUGUUUCUAUUCAAUAUUUUUUACCAAGGUCUUCAUGAGUAGAUCCAAAAAUAACUCGUUACAUCAAAGUUAAAGUUUAAUUUUUACAUGGGAAUCCCACUGUUUCAACUUUGACAGUGCUUUCAAUCAAACGGCAAAAAAAUUCUGUUAUAGGCCUCCUAUCAUCAAAUCUUGUUGCAAUAUC
rnacentral:lncRNA from 1 species